rnacentral:lncRNA from 1 species
UUAAAUUUGCCUUCAACCACAAGCUUAAGCUUUUGGAUGAAUUGGUGGUUUAAUAUGGUAUCAGAGCAGGUGCUCCAGGGAGGUCAUGUGUUCAAGCCCCUGCAUUGUCGUUUCCUCCCCAAUUAAAAUCAAUUUCCACUUGUUGGGCCUUUCAAAUAUUUCAAACCCAAAAGUGAGGUAAAAUUUAUUCCACUUGUUGGGCCUUUCAGAUAUUUCAAGCCCACAAGUGAGGGGGAGUGUUGGUGAUAUAUAAUUAAAUUUGCCUUCAACCACAAGCUUAAGCUUUUGGAUGAAUUGGUGGUUUAAUACACUCUUCUAGGGCUUUUUGUCUUCCAAAUUGUCGAGUACUUUGUUUUCAAGACUGUGUUAGAACCUGUUUUCUGUAAAUGUUUGGCUGAUUAAUAAAUUAGUAGAACACACUAUUUGGUGUUCUAUCAUU